rnacentral:rRNA from 1 species
UACGAAGGGGGCUAGCGUUGCUCGGAAUUACUGGGCGUAAAGCGCACGUAGGCGGUCUUUUAAGUCGGGGGUGAAAUCCUGGAGCUCAACUCCAGAACUGCCUUCGAUACUGGAAGACUUGAGUCCGGGAGAGGUGAGUGGAACUGCGAGUGUAGAGGUGAAAUUCGUAGAUAUUCGCAAGAACACCAGUGGCGAAGGCGGCUCACUGGCCCGGUACUGACGCUGAGGUGCGAA